AGCAGCCGCGGUAAUUCCAGCUCCAAUAGCGUAUAUUAAAGUUGUUGCAGUUAAAAAGCUCGUAGUUGAAUUUCGGGGUCAGUGAGUUGGUCGUGCCACUGGUAUGCACUGGCUUUACUGAUUCCUCCUUCUUGAAGAACUGUAAUGCUAUUAAUUUAGUGUUGCAGGGAAACAGGACUGUUACUUUGAAAAAAUUAGAGUGUUUAAAGCAGGCUAACGCUUGAAUACAUUAGCAUGGAAUAAUGAAAUAGGACGUUUGAUCCUAUUUUGUUGGUUUCUAGGAUUGACGUAAUGAUUAAUAGGGAUAGUUGGGGGCAUUAGUAUUCAAUUGUCAGAGGUGAAAUUCUUGGAUUUAUUGAAGACUGACUACUGCGAAAGCAUUUGCCAAGGAUGCUUUCAUUAAUCAAGAACGAAAGUUAGGGGAUCGAAGACGAUCAGAUACCGUCGUAGUCUUAACCAUAAACUAUGCC
rnacentral:rRNA from 1 species